AGGGAAUCUUCGGCAAUGGACGGAAGUCUGACCGAGCAACGCCGCGUGAGUGAAGAAGGUUUUCGGAUCGUAAAGCUCUGUUGUAAGAGAAGAACGAGUGUGAGAGUGGAAAGUUCACACUGUGACGGUAUCUUACCAGAAAGGGACGGCUAACUACGUGCCAGCAGCCGCGGUAAUACGUAGGUCCCAAGCGUUGUCCGGAUUUAUUGGGCGUAAAGCGAGCGCAGGCGGUUAGAUAAGUCUGAAGUUAAAGGCUGUGGCUUAACCAUAGUACGCUUUGGAAACUGUUUAACUUGAGUGCAAGAGGGGAGAGUGGAAUUCCAUGUGUAGCGGUGAAAUGCGUAGAUAUAUGGAGGAACACCGGUGGCGAAAGCGGCUCUCUGGCUUGUAACUGACGCUGAGGCUCGAAAGCGUGGGGAGCAAACAGGAUUAGAUACCCUGGUAGUCCACGCCGUAAACGAUGAGUGCUAGGUGUUAGACCCUUUCCGGGGUUUAGUGCCGCAGCUAACGCAUUAAGCACUCCGCCUGGGGAGUACGACCGCAAGGUUG
rnacentral:rRNA from 1 species